rnacentral:rRNA from 1 species
CCUACGGGCGGCAGCAGUGAGGAAUAUUGGUCAAUGGGCGGGAGCCUGAACCAGCCAAGUCGCGUGAAGGAAGAAGGUACUUAGUAUUGUAAACUUCUUUUGUCGGGGAACAAAGGCGGAGACGCGUCUCCGGAUGAGUGUACCCGAAGAAAAAGCAUCGGCUAACUCCGUGCCAGCAGCCGCGGUACUACGGAGGAUGCGAGCGUUAUCCGGAUGUAUUGGGUGUAAAGGGUGCGCAGGCGGGAGAUCAAGUCAGCGGUAAAAGGUCGGGGCUCAACCCCGGCCAGCGGUUGAAAAUGGUUUUCUAUAGUUGGAGAGAAGUAUGCGGAAUUCGUGGUGUAGCGGUGAAAUGCAUAGAUAUCACGAAGAACUCCGAUUGCGAAGGCAGCAUACCGGCUCCAUACUGACGCUGAGGCACGAAAGCGUGGGGAUCGAACAGGAUUAGAUACCCUAGUAGUC